rnacentral:rRNA from 1 species
UACAGAGGUCUCAAGCGUUGUUCGGAUUCAUUGGGCGUAAAGGGUGCGUAGGCGGCGCGGUAAGUCGGGUGUGAAAUCUUGGAGCUUAACUCCGAAACUGCAUUCGAUACUGCCGUGCUUGAGGACUGGAGAGGAGACUGGAAUUUACGGUGUAGCGGUGAAAUGCGUAGAUAUCGUAAGGAAGACCAGUGGCGAAGGCGGGUCUCUGGACAGUUCCUGACGUGAGGAGCGAAAGCGUGGGGAGCGAACAGG